UGUUGUGUUGAAUGUGAUCCCAAUGUGGUGCCAAUUUCACGGUAGUGCCUGAUAGCCCUGAACAUGUUCAUUACAUAUUUAGUCAAGAUGUCUUCAAUUUGUGGGAUGCAUUUAGAAAGAGGUUUCCUGGGUCAUCACAAUCUGCUUUUGUAAGAAGUUUGGAAGAUAUUUCCAGCUCUAGAGGAUAGGAAAAUGUUAUCAAUCCAGUCACCUACAGAAAAUUGUUUGCUAACACGACUUUGACCUUCUUCAUGAGCAGAAAAGUAAAUAUUGCCCUCCUUGUAGCAUUGAUUAACAUUCAUUUCAUGUUGAUGGAAAUCAAAAAGUGUACAGACUCAGCAAAGUACCAAGGGGUCCAGUCCAGUGUUAUUAUCAUGAUGUACUGAUUGCAAACAACAGUUUUGUGGACUCUCAUUUAAAAAGUCUUGGUUCAAAGUCAAUUCAGAAUGAAGAUAAUUCUUGUGGUGACACUCAUUGGAAAGCUGCAAAAAUGAUCUCCAAAUCAAAGAAAAACCAAGACGAGACUGGACUUGAAGUUGCUGGAUGCAGGCAUUCGAUUGCUCAAGCUACUUUGAACUUUUCAGAGGAGAAAUUUAUGUCGAUGCUCACUACUUGCAUAUGAAUUUUUUACAACCACAUAAAGUUAAAUAUAUGUGGGAAGAUAUUAUAUGCAAAUAUUGGCCGUGGGCUCUACGUGUUACAUCGGAAGAAAAUCAAAAUGCUUUAAGAAAUACUGCACCAGCACUGUCUAUAAUGCAUGGGAAAUCACACAGUUGGUCAUGUCAGGUUAUUUGGAGCGGAAGAUGGCAAAGUGGUGCGGCAGCAACUGCUGGCGAAGAAGUUGAGCAAAUAAAUUCGUAUUUGUCAAGACUUGGCUCGACUACUAAAAAUAUGACGGCCUCCGACCGAAAGGCAACUUUCAUCUCCCAAGGAUGAUUUUGUAAAGUUAAGAAGCGAACUUAAUGUCCAGGACUCAGACUUGGACGACUCGAUAAUGCUGUGGAAAGAAGAAGUUCAACAAUUUGCAAGAGAACAACAAAUUGGAGUUUCUUCGUUGAAAGGUGCCGCCGAAGAGUUCUUCCUUUGCAUCAAACUGUUGAAAAUGCUCAACAUUUGGAGAAUUUUGUAAAAGCUAACGAUGGUCAAACGCAGACAUUAUUGGGUGAUAGGCGUUUCGUUCAUGACGCUCAAAACUAAGUGAAACAACUUGAACAAAAUGCAACAAGAUUGCUGGAAUUGAAAAGACAGCUUUUAGAUGGACAUGUGACAGAGGAGCAGCUUCUUGAGCAAGGAAAGUCGCAGCUGGCAAAAAUCACAGUAGCAAAGCUGCUGAAGAGAUUAGAAAUGUUGUAUUUUUCAGUCAGUAGACGCACAAAAGAAAUAACUUCUCUUGCUGGUGAGUUUUGUUGGGGUUUUUUAUGAGUAACUGUAAGCAUUAUUUUAAAGUUCGUAGCAAAAUCUAAGUGAGUUAGAUUUUAGAUGUAGGCGACACAAAAUGCAAAAUAUGGAACAGUUUUAUUCGAGAUAAAUUGUUUUAUCUAAAAGUCAGCGGGUAAAUACCAUCUACACAAUCCUCGUAGAAAUUUGUAGACUUAUAUUUAUGGGCCACCCUACACUUAUUUUGUGCCGAAUUAUUUCAAAGCAUUUUGCCAAAUUACUGUAAAAUUGCGAUUUGUCGUUGUUACGUAUAUUAUACAUACACGUACUGUAGAUUCUAGGAAACGAAGAUUUUCCAUGAGAAGGAAAUGCGCUAAAGAGAAGUCCGAAAUAACAUCCACCGUAGAAGAGUUAAAUUGCCUCGCAAGUCUGUGUGGUCUUCCCACGACAAGUGCGGAAGAAGUCACGUUUGGAGAUUUUGUUUGGUCGUUUAACCAAUGUGACAUAGAUAGUACGACUUCACAUGGUGUGUAAAGGAAUAGCAAUUAUAGCUCUAUGUAUAUUGUGACGUCCAUGCUCGCUUUUAGUUUCAACUAUUUUACUUAACAAUAUUUAGAUAUACCUGUGCGCUUCAAGGCACAAAUUGUCGAUAAGUACAUGGUAGUUAAAAGAUUGGAAGAGGAAAAAGCACUUCUGAAAAUGGAGAUAUAUAUUAUAUGAUUUAUUAUUUGGAAAACGUUUUGCCUCUCCUUUGUGAAGGAAAAGAGAAGAUUAAGGAUAGGAUAGGUAUAAAGAUAAAUGAUCGUAUUAAGUUAAAACAAGCUUAAAGUGCCCCUGUCAAAAAAAUGAAACUCACAUAUAUGAAUCUUUGUAAUACGUACAUGCGUUAUUUGAAAAUCGAAUUUCGAUUCUGAAUUUAGUGCAGAAAUUAUAGUCAUUUGAACAUAGAAUUUUGAGAAGUAAAAAUUCGAAAACCGCGCAUAA